CAGUAAAUAAAGGACUAGAUCAGCAGAACGUAUGCUGCACAAAUAUCCUUCACACCAUUAUACCACCAUCUUCACGGUGGUGGAUUUGGUAGUCCACAACAUGUACUUGGUGAACCUGCAUCCUCCACCCCAGUCUUAUUGUUCUGCAGUGAAGCAUGGCAGCAGAUGAGGUCCUCUGGCACACAGAUAGAAACACAAGAAGAUCAGCCUCAAACAGUGACAAAGAAACAAACUGAGAGCAUUCCUUUUAUUGGCUCUGCACUGAUGCUAUC